CCUCUUUUUUUGAUGAAAAUAAUUGCGGAUGUUAGAGUCAAAAGACUCGUUUCCGAGAGCGCAUAAACCUCAUGUGGAUCAUUCCGCUGCCUUCCUUCUGAUUAGUU
rnacentral:snoRNA from 1 species